rnacentral:lncRNA from 1 species
CAUAAAAUAAUGUCUUUGAAAAGGCAUCAACAUAAUCCCAAUAAUUCUAGUUAGUGAAAAUCUUUUGUACUGGAUGUACAUAUUGACAAUCUUUCAAAGUACUUAGUCCCAUUCUUCUGGUAAAAUAAUUCUUUUAAUAAUCAUCUUUGAGAAAGAAAAAUAGGAUUUAUUAGGAGCACCAGUAUUGUUAUGAGUAAUCUCAACAGACCCUGUAGAUGUUAGAAUCAUCUCGAAAUGUAAUCUGGUUUUAUAAGUUUGCAUUGUAAAUAAUGCAUUAUU